rnacentral:rRNA from 1 species
UGACGAGCUUGCUCUGAUGUGAUUUUAUCUGACAAAGAGUGGCGAACGGGUGAGUAACACGUGGGUAACCUACCUCUUAGCAGGGGAUAACAUUUGGAAACAAGUGCUAAUACCGUAUAAUACCAACAACCGCAUGGUUGUUGGUUGAAAGAUGGUUCUGCUAUCACUAAGAGAUGGACCCGCGGUGCAUUAGCUAGUUGGUAAGGUAACGGCUUACCAAGGCAAUGAUGCAUAGCCGAGUUGAGAGACUGAUCGGCCACAAUGGGACUGAGACACGGCCCAUACUCCUACGGGAGGCAGCAGUAGGGAAUCUUCCACAAUGGGCGCAAGCCUGAUGGAGCAACGCCGCGUGUGUGAUGAAGGGUUUCGGCUCGUAAAACACUGUUAUAAGAGAAGAACGGCACUGAGAGUAACUGUUCAGUGUGUGACGGUAUCUUACCAGAAAGGAACGGCUAAAUACGUGCCAGCAGCCGCGGUAAUACGUAUGUUCCAAGCGUUAUCCGGAUUUAUUGGGCGUAAAGCGAGCGCAGACGGUUAUUUAAGUCUGAAGUGAAAGCCCUCAGCUCAACUGAGGAAUGGCUUUGGAAACUGGAUGACUUGAGUGCAGUAGAGGAAAGUGGAACUCCAUGUGUAGCGGUGAAAUGCGUAGAUAUAUGGAAGAACACCAGUGGCGAAGGCGGCUUUCUGGACUGUAACUGACGUUGAGGCUCGAAAGUGUGGGUAGCA